CCUACGGGAGGCAGCAGUGGGGAAUAUUGGACAAUGGGCGAAAGCCUGAUCCAGCCAUGCCGCGUGUGUGAAGAAGGCCUUCGGGUUGUAAAGCACUUUCAGUGGGGAAGAAAGCCUUGGGGCUAAUACCCUCGAGGAAGGACAUCACCCACAGAAGAAGCACCGGCUAACUCCGUGCCAGCAGCCGCGGUAAUACGGAGGGUGCGAGCGUUAAUCGGAAUUACUGGGCGUAAAGCGCGCGUAGGCGGUCUGAUAAGCCGGUUGUGAAAGCCCCGGGCUCAACCUGGGAACGGCAUCCGGAACUGUCAGGCUAGAGUGCAGGAGAGGAAGGUAGAAGUCCCGGUGUAGCGGUGAAAUGCGUAGAGAUCGGGAGGAAUACCAGUGGCGAAGGCGGCCUUCUGGACUGACACUGACGCUGAGGUGCGAAAGCGUGGGUAGCAAACAGGAUUAGAUACCCUAGUAGUC
rnacentral:rRNA from 1 species